AUACGUAGGGGGCAAGCGUUGUCCGGAUUUAUUGGGCGUAAAGCGCGCGCAGGCGGCUCUUUAAGUCAGGUGUGAAAGGCUGCGGCUCAACCGCAGAGCUGCACCUGAAACUGGAGAGCUUGAGUACAGGAGAGGAGAGUGGAAUUCCCGGUGUAGCGGUGGAAUGCGUAGAGAUCGGGAGGAACACCAGUGGCGAAGGCGACUCUCUGGACUGUAACUGACGCUGAGGCGCGAAAGCGUGGGGAGCGAACAGGAUUAGAUACCCUGGUAGUCCACGCCGUAAACGAUGAGUGCUAGGUGUUGGGGAUUUCCCUCCUCAGUGCCGAAGUUAACACAUUAAGCACUCCGCCUGGGGAGUACGGCCGCAAGGCUGAA
rnacentral:rRNA from 1 species